rnacentral:lncRNA from 1 species
GGUCGUUAGUGAUAUCGCUAUUCUCGGGUUUUAUCCUUAUUCGGCGAUAAAUACCGAAAAAUUCGAAGCAAUUGUUUGGCUGCCGUAUUGUUUAUUUUUCUAUAUGGACAAACAGUAAAAGGUAAGUAGUUUGUGAUUAGUUUUAACGAUUUUGUGACUUUCUUUCAAAUUCACUUUAUAGGGGAAAUGUGCACAGAAAGAGGUCACUUUUCAGGACCUGUACCGUCGCCUAAAGUGCCAAUUGUUAAGCCAAAACGACGUGUACGGCAAGAUUCAAGAUUUAUAAAUUAUAUUUUGGAGUUCGAGUUUAAAUGAUCGAGUGACAAGUAACGCAUAAUUUGUGCAUUCUAUGUUGCAAUGAUAAAAAAAACAAUACAUGUGAGAGGAGAAAUACAAUGUAGCUAUUUGAAUAAACAUUUAACAUGUUUAUCUAAUAGAAAUCAAAUUUAUAAAACAUUUUUCUUUUUCAAUUUCAGUUUUAAAUCUAGCCAACACGGCAACAGAUUUCUACAGGCCAUGGGGAUAAAAAUACCACAGAACUGUUGCAUCAGCUCUGAUAGUACCAGCUUUCUUCUGAUGAACUACCCAGUUUUAACCAGGCAAUAGCAAUGGGAGCAAUGGCAGAGAUAAUCUAUAGAUGACAUUUUACAUUGCCAAAAAAAAAAAACAUUAUGACAUUCUUUCAAAUCUUGAUGAAGCUAAUUCAGUCAAAUAUCAAUUCCUACUGUGAGAGAGCCUUUUCAAUUAUAAAGAAAUUAACACUGAAUUCUGAUCCGAACUUGACUAUGUUACAUUUGUAUUGUGUGCUGUUAUCAAAUAAAUGUAACUAAAAUUGAAACUGGCAGUUGUUUUGAAUAUGUGCCUAGUGGUGGUGCUUUAAAAGCAACAUAACAGACCACUGUUUAAUACAAUAAAAGUUCAAAGUAGAAUAUAUAUUGUUUUUUUGUAUUCACAAAUUUGUAUGAAAUUAUGAACAUUACCACAUUCAUAUUAACAAGUCCGCAUCUACGUCACGCGUUUUCACACGCUUUUUGACAUAUCAUGUCAUGUCAUGACAUGAUUUCCCAUUGUCAGAGGUUGACAUGUAUGUAUAAACAGCAACAUGGACAACCUCCCAGGAACGUCAGAUGAUGGAGUUCCCCAUAUUCCUAGCAGGUAAUAUACACAAACACGAUACACAAA